rnacentral:rRNA from 1 species
GAGCGAGAAAGCCCUUCGGGGUGAGUAGAGCGGCGGACGGGUGAGUAACGCGUAGGAAUCUACCCAGUGGUGGGGGACAACAUGGGGAAACCCAUGCUAAUACCGCAUACGCCCUUCGGGGGAAAGCGGGGGACCUUCGGGCCUCGCGCCAUUGGAUGAGCCUGCGUUGGAUUAGCUAGUUGGUGGGGUAAAGGCCUACCAAGGCGACGAUCCAUAGCUGGUCUGAGAGGAUGAUCAGCCACACUGGGACUGAGACACGGCCCAGACUCCUACGGGAGGCAGCAGUGGGGAAUAUUGCACAAUGGGCGCAAGCCUGAUGCAGCCAUGCCGCGUGUGUGAAGAAGGCCUUAGGGUUGUAAAGCACUUUCAAUUGGGAAGAAAAGCUGUUGGCUAAUACCCAGCAGCCCUGACAUUACCUUUAGAAGAAGCACCGGCUAACUCCGUGCCAGCAGCCGCGGUAAUACGGAGGGUGCGAGCGUUAAUCGGAAUUACUGGGCGUAAAGCGCGCGUAGGCGGCGUGUUAAGUCGGAUGUGAAAGCCCCGGGCUCAACCUGGGAACUGCACCCGAUACUGGCAGGCUAGAGUACGAGAGAGGGAGGUAGAAUUCCACGUGUAGCGGUGAAAUGCGUAGAUAUGUGGAGGAA